rnacentral:rRNA from 1 species
CCUACGGGAGGCAGCAGUGAGGAAUAUUGGACAAUGGGCGCAAGCCUGAUCCAGCCAUGCCGCGUGCAGGAAGACGGUCCUAUGGAUUGUAAACUGCUUUUAUACAGGAAGAAACACCUCUACGUGUAGAGACUUGACGGUACUGUAUGAAUAAGCAUCGGCUAACUCCGUGCCAGCAGCCGCGGUAAUACGGAGGAUGCAAGCGUUAUCCGGAAUCAUUGGGUUUAAAGGGUCCGUAGGCGGUUUAAUAAGUCAGUGGUGAAAGCCCAUCGCUCAACGAUGGAACGGCCAUUGAUACUGUUAAACUUGAAUUAUUAGGAAGUAACUAGAAUAUGUAGUGUAGCGGUGAAAUGCUUAGAGAUUACAUGGAAUACCAAUUGCGAAGGCAGGUUACUACUAAUAUAUUGACGCUGACGGACGAAAGCGUGGGGAGCGAACAGGAUUAGAUACCCUGGUAGUCCACGCCGUAAACGAUGGAUACUAGCUGUUCGGAGCAAUCUGNGUGNGUAGAGAAGAGAGUAAGUAUACCACCGUCGGGAGGUACGUUCGCGAGAAGUAGAACGUACGAAGUAGUAGUUAGUAGGACGUGAGAGNGCGACGGACGACGACGAGGGAGGAGG